rfam:Citrus sinensis cultivar Ridge Pineapple sweet orange scaffold00133_contig_23, whole genome shotgun sequence.
AUAUGAAAAUGAGGAAAGUUAAUGCAAAGGUGAUGAUUAAUUUCAUUUGAUCAAAACCUAUUCGCUACGUUCUUUCUGAUUCAUUU